CCGUGCUGUCGACAGGCUCCGGUGAAGAUGGCGGCUAUUAACUUGGGUUAUGUGAGGGAAGAAUCUGAGGCGUUGUCGCCGAUGACAUGCCAUAAAGGAGGAAAGCGGUGUACCCGGAGGAAACCCAAACAGACACGGGCAGAAUGUGCAAACUCCACACUGUUGUGCGAGGGUGGAAUCGAACCUGGGUCCCUGGCGCUAUGAGGCAACAGUGCUAACCACUGUGCCGCCCCUGGAAACAGAAGUGAAAUGAGGCUUUUCAGAGGUAAAAAGGAAGCAGAAAAGAACUUAAGAAAGGAAUUAGGAGGGCUGGAACGGACCAUGAAAUGCCCUUCACAAGUGGUAUUAAGGAGAAUCGCAAACAAUUUUAUACCUGUAUUUGGAGUAAGAGGGUAUCUAGGAGAAAAGAGAGCGCUAGAAACAGCAGGUUUGCAGGACGAAUUCAAAAACCAAUCAUUAAAUCAAGAUCGCACGGAUAUGACUCGUUUAUCACAACCUAAAUAUCAAUGGAUUUUGAACAUGGAAGGAAAAAGCAGGCAUAUCUUAAAGGAGGAAAUUGGAGCAGAGAGCAGGAGUACUUUGAGGAGGAAAUUCCAGAGCUCGUGUAAUAUGCAACUGAAAGAAUGGCCAUUGAUGGUGUAGCAAUUUAAAUCAGGAAUGCACAAGAAUCCUGAAUUGAUAAGUUACGGACAUUUUCAGAAGAUUGUGCUUCUUAGGAGUUUACAGAGAUGGGGAUUGUUGUAACCAUGGAGCAAAAUAAAGGUGUGUAUUUUAGAAUGUUGUGGCUGCAAACCCAGGCCCUUUGUCGCAUCGGGUGUGCAUGUGCAUGUCCAUAUUUAAAGACUAUGUGCAGUAUGCUGAAAUCAAUGGAAUUAUUUUGACAUUUUCAGGAUUGUGAUUUUGUGGAUAUCUGUUCAGCAGUGCUUUGGUCUGUUUGCUGAAGUCAAAACUCUUUGAGGAAAUCAAGUGAAACACGAUCAAGUUCAUACUUGGGAGAGACCUACCCAACUUGCGGAAUGUGCUGUAAAAUUUCAGUUAUUUAAUGGCCCAUCUACAUGUUCACAGAGAUGAGACCUUUUCAAUGCCCAGACUGUAGGAAGUGCUACAAAAUUCCAAGGGCACUGAUGAACAGUGGCUCACUGCUGCCUCACAGCACCAAGGUCCUGGGUUUGAUUCCACCCUCGUGUGACUGUCUGUGUGGAGUUUGCACGUUCUCCCUGUGUCUGCGUGGGUUUCUUCCGGGUGCCCUGGUUUCCUCCCACAGUCCAAAGAUGUGCAGGCUAGGUCGAUUGGCCAUGCUAAAUUGCCCAUAGUGUUCAGGGAUGAGUAGAUUAGGUGGGUUACAGGAGAUGGGUCUGGGUGGGAUGCUCUGAGGGUCGGUGUUGACUUGUUGGGCCAAAGGGCCUGUUUCCACACUGUAGGGAUUCUAUGAUCUUCUAUGAUGAACCAGCAACACGUUCACACUGAGGAGAGACCUUUUGAAUGCUUAGAUUGUAGAUAAAGCUUUAAAACAUCCAGCAAUCUGAUCUCCCGUUCACACUGAUAAGAGGCCUUUCAAAUGCAGAUUGUGGGAAAUGCUUUAAGUUCCACAGAUUUGAUUAAUCAGCGUGUUCCUUCUGAUGACAAACCUUUUAAAUGUUCACACUGUGGGAAGUGCCCUAAAAGUUCCUGGGCACUGACUUCCCGUCAAUGAGUUCACGUACUGUCACUGUGGGACCAGCUUCAGAAGAUCAUUUGACCCUCUCUUAAAUACUGGUGAAUUCAAACUGCAGAGAGGCCCUUGACUUUGGUCCUGUCACCUUGUGGUACACCAGCAAGUUCACACUAAGGGGAGACUUUAAGUGGUCUCAUCACUGCACACCAGUGACUUCAGACUAGGGAGAGGCUGUUCAUCUGCAUUGAGUGUAAGAAGAGAUUCAGUCAGGAGCUUAUAAGUCUGAGACACACUGAGUUCACAAAUUAUUUAGGGAGUUGGGUUUUUCUGUUAAUUACUUCCGGACUGAACUCUGUUCAUUGGUUUGCUUUGUUGAUAUCCUGAAUAAAAGUCAAAUAAAUCAGCUUUGUGUUAAACCCA